rnacentral:rRNA from 1 species
AGUGAACGCUGGCGGCGUGCCUAAUACAUGCAAGUCGAACGGAGUGGCGCACGGGUGAGUAAUAUAUAGCUAAUCUGCCCAUUGCUGGAGGACAACAGUUAGAAAUGACUGCUAAUACUCCAUAGCAAGGGAUGAGACUAUAUCGUAUCAGCUAGUCGGUGGGGUAACGGCCUACCGAGGCUAUGACGCGUAACUGGUCUGAGAGGAUGAUCAGUCACAUUCGAACUGAGGCAGCGGUCAAACUCCUUCGGGAGGCAGCAGUAGGGAAUAUGGCGCAAUGCGCGUAACCCUUACGCAGCAACGGCGCGUGGAGGAUGAUACUUUUCGGAGCGUAAACUCCUUUUGUUAGGGAAGCGGUACCUAACGAAUAAGCACCGGCUAACUCCGUGCCAGCAGCCGCGGUAAUAC